CCAGCUGUAUGAUACUAAAAGUCACAUAAUCUGCUUUUGGUCAAGCUUUUAUUAUUUCUGCAAAGUACAGCAGAAAAAAAAAACUGGCACUCAGAAGACCCACACUGCAGUGUACCUGCUGCUAGCCUUCCUUAGGCCAGUGACUUGCCCUCUCUGACUUUGCUUUUAUCACCUGUAUCUGAAAGAUAAUGACGGCUCCUCUCCAGAGGAUUAUUGUUAAGAGUAAAAAUCAAAUAAGCUAUCAUUAAUUAAAGUGCUUAGGAAACUCCAAAGUACUAGUUAAACACAUGUUUAAUUAUGGUGGGUACUUAUCCAUUUGUUUUUGGCUAUGAGCUCAGCCUAACAGAAAAUUAAGCUAUAAAAUUUGUCCUUGCAGCCAGUGUCUCCCAUUAAUUAAAUUCAGCAAAUAUUUAUUGAGAACUCACUUUGUGCCAGGCAUCAUGCCAAGACUGGGGAUAAAAUGGGAAACAAGACAGUGUCCUUGGUCUCACAGACCUCAUUGUCUAAAUCUAAUGCCUCACUUGUCCAAUGUGGUCUUUGGGCCACCAACCUGAGCACUGUUAGGGAUGAAUCAUUGCAGCCUCUCUCCAGACCUACUGAACAAGAAUCAGGUAACACUCUCCCAGUUGGUUUGUGUGCACUUCACAGUUUGACAAGAACUGCUCUAGAGGGUAUUGAUCUGGUCACUCUCCACUGAAACCUGACAAGACCUAAGCCUCAACUGUUAAUGGUUUAGAAAUAAAUCAAACAUUCCCUUUGUUUUCCCACAACUUACCCUGAAAAGCAAAGAAGGACUACAUGUUCUGUUGUCAUCUGCUCAGAAGUGCAGACAGGAGUCAACGUGGAGGAGGAGGAGGGCUGUGAUGGACUGGAUGUCUGUGUCCUCUCAGUACACUGUGUCCCCUUCAUAUGCUGCAAUCCUAAACCCCACUGUAAUGGUAGUAGGAGGUGGGGCCUUUGGGGAGUGAUUAGGUAAUCAGGCUUCCUGGAUAGGAGUAGUCCUUGUAAGAAGAGACAUGAGAAUCUCUUUUCUCUUUCUCUCUCUCUUUCUCCCGUCUCCCUCUCCCUCUCUCUCCUGGGUUACAAUGAGAGCAUGGCCAUUGGCAGACCAAGAUGAGUGCCCUCAUCAGACACUGGAUCUGCUGGCACCUUGACCGUGGACUUCCCAGCUUCCGAGCUAUGAGAAAUAAAUUGUUUAAGCCACCAGCCUCUGGUAUUUUUGUUACAGCAGCCCAAACUAAGACAUCAGCUUGGACACAGGAGGAUGGCCUGCCCUUCUAGCCCAAACGCUUCUUAGAAGCCAAAGCUGGGACUGCACCACAUGCACACUCUCACUGAAGGCCAUUCUCAGAGUUUUAUUCUCACUAUAUUUAUAUUGGUAUCUAUCAAAGGCCAGUCUCUUACAUGCUGGGGAAAACAGUCUUCACAUAUUAGCCAAAGUCUCCCCUCACAGAACAGAAAUCACCUAGCUGCAACUUAGUAACUAUCCAGAGAAGUCAUCUGAAGUCUGAGGCAUGUGCUUCUUGGAGCAAACCCAGAAGCUUGGAAACACGAAGAGGAUAAGAAUCGGAUAAUGCAGCUCUGCUGCCCAAGUGUUCUGAUUUUAUUUUAGGAGAAAACAAGGAGCACACUUGUGAUGAGCACCAGGUGUUGUAUGGACGUGUCAAAUCACUAUAUUGUACACUGAAAUUAAUACUACCUUGUAUAUUAACUGAAAUUUAAAUUAAAAUUUUUUAAAUAAAAAUAUAUUAAAAUUUUUUUUUUUUGCAAAGGGGCGCCUGGGUGGCUCAGUCAGUUAAGCAUCCAACUCUUGAUUUGGCUCAUGUCAGGAUCUCAGGGUAAAUUCAUAUGUUGCAGAUCUGACAGGACUAGGAGAUCAAGCCCUGCCUCGGGCUUUGCAGGAGGCGUAGAACCUACUUAAGAUUUUCUCUUCCUCUUGCCCUCUGUCCCUCCCCACUCCUCUUUCCUUCCCUAAACAAAUAAAAACUUCAAAAACCUUUUUAAAAAGCGAGAGAACCAAACAUUUGUAGAAUAAGGGAGAACUACUCUUAAAUAAACUAAAGAACUCACCUGACUUAAAACAGUCUGAAUCAUUUCUCAUGAUCUAGAACAAAACUGGCAAAUUGAAACCAAUUUAAAUGGUUUUAAUUUUCCUAUAGCCAACUAUAAGAAAUCUAUUUAUUUUUUCAUUUUUUAUUUUUUAUUUCUUUAAGAAAUCUAUUUAAAUGUCCCUAUGGAACUGCUAUGUUUGGGGUUGCAUUUAUCCUUACAAUAAGCCACAUAGCUAAUUUCCUGGCUGGGUCUUUUCCUUGCUUAUACUCAUGUUCCUGACUCUAUUUAAAUAUAAAAUGAAUUAACAUGUAUGAAUGUGCUACACAAAUGUGAGGGUUUCUCUUUUUUAAAAAUUAUUACUAUUUGCAGAGGAUACAUGGAUCAUCUAAACAGGAUUCAACUAAAAUGCCAUUAACUUACUGUGGGUUUAUUUUUUUAUGGAUUAAUACAUUAAUUUUGUUUACUUUCCUAGCUUCUGAAAACAUUUUUAAAUCAAAUUUCUUAAAAUAACUAUACAUCUUACCACAUGCAGUUAAAAGAGAUGAUAUGGGACACCUGGGUGGCUUAGCAGUUGAGCGUCUGCCUUCAGCUCAGGGCGUGAUCCCCGGGUGCCAGGAUCGAGUCCUAAAUCAGGCUCCCUGCAUGGAGCCUGCUUCUUCCUCUGCCUGUGUCUCUGCCUCUCUCUCUCUCUCUCUCUCUCUCUCUCUCUCUCUCUCUCAUGAAUAAAUAAAUAAAUCUUAAAAAAAAAAGAAAUGAUAUGGAAAGAUCCCAUACACCCUUCAUCCAUUUCCCCCAACUGUAGCACCUUGCAUAACUAUAGCACAAUAUCACAACCAGGAAAUUAACAUUGAUACAAUCACCCUCAAUCCAUCAGUGUUAUAUGUACCAAUUUGUGUAAGUUUUGUUCUAUGAAGUUUUAUCCUGUGUGUACAUCUGUGUAAUUGACACCGCAAUGAAUAUUUAGAAUAUUUCAAUCACCAUAAUGAUGCAACCUUUUAUAAGUACACCCAUCCUCCUCCCCAACCCGUCUCUAAGCUCUGACAACCACUACUUUGUUUUCCAUCUCUAUCAUCUAGUCAUUUCAAUAAUGUUUUAUAAAUGGAAUCAUACAUUAUGUAACCUUUUUUGAUUAGCUUUUCAUUCAGCAUAAUUCCCUUAGGAUUCAUCCAAAUUUUUUGAUAUGUCAAAAGUUUAUUCCUUUCUAUUGCUGAGUAGUAUUCCAUGGACUAAUCAUGUCACAGUUUAACCAUAUAUCUGUUGAAGCAUAUUUGAAAUGUUUCUAGUUUUUGGCUAUUAUAAAUAAAAGGUUCUC
rnacentral:lncRNA from 1 species